GCAAUAAUGUAGGCAUUUGCUUACAGCAACAGAAUCCAUUUAGGGAAUAAAUAAUUGACUGAUCUUAUUAUACUGAGCCUUUUCCUUCAAAAAGUUUAUAUCUCUGAUAUUUACAGAUACUAAGAAAAUUGACAAAUCGAUUCAAUUGUGUCAUCACAUGAAAAGAAUCCAUUUUAAUCAAAAUUUUUCAUCCACAUGUUACAAAACCUAUAAACACUUAGAUAUACUUAGAUCUAAUAAUCUCCAAGGUAGUGAUUUAUUGAGUGCUUAAAAAUUUGUGUACUGAACAGGCGCUUUAUAUAUGUUAUCUGCGUCACUACAACUCUGCAAAGGGUGCUGGGUUGGGUUUAUUUUUUCUCAUGUUUGAGGUUUUUGUUAGCACUUAUCAGCUAUUUAAGUGUUUUAUAUCUGUUAUUGACUUCAAAUUACAGCAAAGCAGCACUUUAGAGAUAAGAAAAAUGAGAAUCAGAGAAUUUAAAUGAGUUUUCCAAAGUCACACAGCACAUGGUAAAGAGAAUUUAAGCUGGAAAAGGUUGGGCAGCUUAUUGUUGUCAAAUCAUAUAUGCAUGAAUAGAAACUAAAGAAGAAUAUAUCUCGGCAAGAAGGACUUCAGUGCUAAUUAGCAAGGUAGAGACAACUUAAGAUUUUACACUUGGUUUCCAUUUUCAAGACAACCUUAAUGCUCUGACCGAUUCCGGCUUGGAAAAGCUCUGCUUUACUUGUCAGAUUGAAAAAAAUGUUUUCUUAAAAAUACCUUUGUAUGUUUUAUAUUAAAAUAAUUGCACUAAAAUUGAUUAAUCAGAUAUCAAAUAUCAUACGUAGAAUAGUAAUGACAUAGCAUAGAGAAGACAAAAAUUGGGUUUCCAUAAAGAUAAUGAGUCAUGCCAUAGAUUAUGACCAAAAGUACACUAUGGAAUAGUAAUUUGUCAGCAUUGCAUAUGUUAGUAAAAAGCAAAUAACUUGGGGAUGGAUGAUGCUACUUUUGAGGUUAUGCAUGAAGCUGAGGAUAAACAGAGCUUUCAAGGAAUGGAAAUAGAGAAUAAAGAAAAAGUCCAUGUAGUUUGUAGUAGAAAGAUUGUGAACAUGACCAGAUUCUUAACCCUUUUUAUAUGCACUCUAUUGCAAUAUGAAUUUGUUCCUUCUUCAUUAAGAAAUAAAUCCAUUUCCCCAAUUCCUGAAUUUGAGCUGGCUUUGUAUCUUGCAACAGAAGUGAGGGUAUAUGAGUUACAAACCAAAGCCUCAGUAGGUCUUGUGUGCAUUCAGUCACACUUUUAUAAUGCUGCCCCUAAUAUGUGGACAAGCUUGGGGUGAAGGAGGAAAGACCACAUGGGGCAUAGUCAGCCAAAAUGGCCAAGUCCAGUGUCCAGAGAUGUGAAAGAUUCCAAUCAAGAAGACAGGAACGCCAGCCCUCGGCCAACCCAUCAGUUGACCAUAAAUGCAUAAUCAAGCACAGAUGAGAACAGUUGAGCCCAACCUGGAAUAGAAAAAUAAUGGCUCAGAGAACCUACAGACUAGUAAGCUAAUAAAUGUUUAUUGUUUAAUUGUUUGUUACAUAGCAUUAUUAUUGCAAUAGAUAACUGGCACAAUAGUAAAAUAGCCCUGAAAGUUGAGUUACCUUAAGUAUUUUAGCUCUGUUAUCAACAAAUACGGUGAAUAUAAAUGAAUAACACAGCUUCUGUUUCUCUCUUUUCAAAAUUGCAAAAUAAAAG
rnacentral:lncRNA from 10 species